AGUGAACGCUGGCGGUAGGCCUAACACAUGCAAGUCGAACGGCAGCACAGUAAGAGCUUGCUCUUACGGGUGGCGAGUGGCGGACGGGUGCGGAAUACAUCGGAAUCUACUUUUUCGUGGGGGAUAACGUAGGGAAACUUACGCUAAUACCGCAUACGACCUACGGGUGAAAGCAGGGGAUCUUCGGACCUUGCGCGAUUGAAUGAGCCGAUGUCGGAUUAGCUAGUUGGCGGGGUAAAGGCCCACCAAGGCGACAAUCCGUAGCUGGUCUGAGAGGAUGAUCAGCCACACUGGAACUGAGACACGGUCCAGACUCCUACGGGAGGCAGCAGUGGGGAAUAUUGGACAAAGGGCGCAAGCCUGAUCCAGCCAUACCGCGUGGGUGAAGAAGGCCUUCGGGUUGUAAAGCCCUUUUGUUGGGAAAGAAAAGCAGCAGGUUAAUACCCCGCUGUUCUGACGGUACCCAAAGAAUAAGCACCGGCUAACUUCGUG
rnacentral:rRNA from 1 species